UGGGGAAUAUUGCACAAUGGGCGAAAGCCUGAUGCAGCAACGCCGCGUGAGUGAUGAAGGCCUUCGGGUUGUAAAGCUCUGUCUUUUGGGACGAUAAUGACGGUACCAAAGGAGGAAGCCACGGCUAACUACGUGCCAGCAGCCGCGGUAAUACGUAGGUGGCAAGCGUUGUCCGGAUUUACUGGGCGUAAAGGAUGCGUAGGCGGAUUUUUAAGUGAGAUGUGAAAUACCCGGGCUUAACUUGGGUGCUGCAUUUCAAACUGGGAAUCUAGAGUGCGGGAGAGGAGAAUGGAAUUCCUAGUGUAGCGGUGAAAUGCAUAGAGAUUAGGAAGAACACCAGUGGCGAAGGCGAUUCUCUGGACCGUAACUGACGCUGAGGCAUGAAAGCGUGGGUAGCAAACAGGAUUAGAUACCCUGGUAGUCCACGCCGUAAACGAUGAGUACUAGGUGUAGGAGGUAUCGACCCCUUCUGUGCCGCAGUUAACACAAUAAGUACUCCGCCUGGGAAGUACGAUCGCAAGAUUAAAACUUAAAUGAAUUGACGGGGUCAUAGC
rnacentral:rRNA from 1 species